CCCAGCAACUUCUCAUUCUCGACACCAGGGGUUGGAUCCUUGGCUACCCUCCUUCUCUGAAGAUACAUCAUGACUGAUGACGAGAUGGAGCUUUCCUGUGAAGAAAGGAAGAAGCCUGGGAGCACAGACUUACGGCUAAUCAACGAUCACACUCAAAGGAGGUUCUUGGAAGUGGUUGGACCUGGACGGAAAACCUGGCUCAAUGUCCUCUACCAUGCAUUCAAUAGGGACAUGACUCUGGCCACAAGAUCAGAAUAUCAUCCCAGUAAUAUCGGCCUAAGCCUCCGCGAAUCAUAA
rnacentral:lncRNA from 1 species